AGACGGACGGUUCUGAUGGUUCUGAUGAGUCUGAUUGGGUUAGUAUCGUUUUAACUCGACACUUGUAUGUUCCAGCGUCGUGUCUGCUCACAUUCUUCAGAAUUAAAGACACGUCUCUGUCCUUCAGAUCUCUGUUCACCAGCUCCACCCUGUCCUUAAAGGAUGGAUGCUGGUCAGGUCUGGUCCACUCUACAACACUGAUGGAGGAAUCAGCAGCCUCACAUGGUAGAAUGACAUCAUCUCCAGG